rnacentral:tRNA from 1 species
UGCAUCACCCAGGGAAUCGAACCCGGGCCGCCCGCGUGGCAGGCGAGCAUUCUACCACUGAACCACCGAUGC